UACGUAGGGGGCAAGCGUUGUCCGGAUUUAUUGGGCGUAAAGAGCGUGUAGGCGGCUUGGAAGGUCAGCUGUGAAAACUCGAGGCUCAACCUCGAGACGUCGGUUGAAACCACCUGGCUAGAGUCCGGAAGAGGAGAGUGGAAUUCCCCGGUGUAGCGGUGAAAUGCGCAGAUAUCGGGGAAGAACACCCGUGGCGAAGGCGGCUCUCUGGGACGGUACUGACGCUGAGACGCGAAAGCGUGGGGAGCGAACAGG
rnacentral:rRNA from 1 species